UUGAGGAGAAACCAAUACGACGAAGUCGUAUUUUAAGAUGGUUUCGACGACCUGCCAACCAGCGAAGGCGAGGGGGCGUUACAGAAU
rnacentral:sRNA from 12 species